rnacentral:rRNA from 1 species
CCUACGGGAGGCAGCAGUGAGGAAUAUUGGUCAAUGGGCGCGAGCCUGAACCAGCCAAGUAGCGUGAAGGAUGAAGGCUCUAUGGGUCGUAAACUUCUUUUAUAUGGGAAUAAAGUUUUCCACGUGUGGAAUUUUGUAUGUACCAUAUGAAUAAGGAUCGGCUAACUCCGUGCCAGCAGCCGCGGUAAUACGGAGGAUCCGAGCGUUAUCCGGAUUUAUUGGGUUUAAAGGGAGCGCAGACGGGUCGUUAAGUCAGCUGUGAAAGUUUGGGGCUCAACCUUAAAAUUGCAGUUGAUACUGGCGUCCUUGAGUGCGGUUGAGGUGUGCGGAAUUCGUGGUGUAGCGGUGAAAUGCUUAGAUAUCACGAAGAACUCCGAUUGCGAAGGCAGCACACUAGACUGUUACUGACACUGAUGCUCGAAAG